UCAAACAGAACAGAGAGCGGGAAGUAGACUACUUUUGCCUUUUAACAACAGAAAAGCUCUUUAGAGGGUGGAUUUUAAGUGUUAAUCUUGAAGACGACGAGAUUUAAAGCGGAGAGCGGGAAGAACGCCACAACCGGGACUUCGGCUUCUUUAUCGUCAGAGGAACUUCAUAAGUUUAAGAGAGGCUCUACUCAAAUUAUCAGACGAAGAGAGGAGGACAUUUAACGGUGAAGACUGUGUCUACUGUUGGGGAGGAUGCUAUUUCAUGCCCACGUGAAGACUUUGCAGGACCAAAACACGACAACCAUUAUUCCAGGAAAUUGGCCCAAUGCAUGCUGUAACUGCUUUAAGUUCAGGAAGAACCAGCCACACUAUAUUCCACUGUGCAGAUUUUGGGAACGUCUGACUGGACACAAGUCUUCAGUGAGAAGAGAAUCUUGAAAUUUGAGAAAAAAGAGAAAUUUGCUGAGCAGUUGAGGUGGAGGAUGGUGUUUUUUGAAAAUGUUAAAUAAAUGCAGGGAUGUUGUGUGAAAAGUGGUGGAAAAAAGUUUUCUAGUUUGGUUAAAUAAUGUAACAUUUUAGUGUAAAUGUAUUUUAUGUACUGUAACAUUUUAGUUUCAUUGUAUUGUGAAAUGUUUUGCAGCUUUUUUUUUUUUUUUCUAAAGGGGGCCCAAUCACAUUGAAGAGAUAUAUUUAUAUAAUAUUUUGUUAUACUAUGGGCUAUCUACAACAAUAAAAGAACCAA